rnacentral:rRNA from 1 species
GAUGAACGCUGGCGGCGUGCCUAAUACAUGCAAGUCGAACGAAACUUCUUUAUCACCGAGUGCUUGCGCUCACCGAUAAAGAGUUGAGUGGCGAACGGGUGAGUAACACGUGGGCAACCUGCCCAAAAGAGGGGGAUAACACUUGGAAACAGGUGCUAAUACCGCAUAACCAUAGUUACCGCAUGGUAUCUAUGUAAAAGGUGGCUAUACUACCGCUUUUGGAUGGGCCCGCGGCGCAUUAGCUAGUUGGUAGGGUAAAGGCUUACCAAGGCAAUGAUGCGUAGCCGAAUUGAGAGGUUGAUCGGCCACAUUGGGACUGAGACACGGCCCAAACUCCUACGGGAGGCAGCAGUAGGGAAUCUUCCACAAUGGGCGAAAGCCUGAUGGAGCAACGCCGCGUGGGUGAAGAAGGUCUUCGGAUCGUAAAACCCUGUUGUUAGAGAAGAAAGUGCGUGAGAGUAACUGUUCACGUUUCGACGGUAUCUAACCAGAAAGCCACGGCUAACUACGUG